AAAAAAAAAGUGGAUUUAUAGUCUCGUCAACUCGAAAGCCAAUUGACAUUCGUUUUAAAACAGUAACUGCAGUGUCUUAUAUUUUUCCGCAGCGAUCCGAGGGAAUCUGAACGGGACGGACGGGUUAAUUUAACGAAAAAUAUACUGGCAAUUUUCACUGCUGCAGGGGAAGUUUCACGUUUGACAACUCCCCUGACCCCAGACCAUUUCUUUCGUGCGCAUUUAAAUUCGAAUCGCGAUAUUAUUUCUGUAUACGUUUUGUCCCUUUGAAGCCGAGUGCUUGUGUGUUUGAAUAGAUAAAUGGUUUAUGUACAGUAACGAUAAUAUUUU